rnacentral:rRNA from 1 species
GACGGAGGAUGCAAGCGUUAUCCGGAAUGAUUGGGCGUAAAGCGUCCGCAGGUGGCAGUUCAAGUCUGCUGUCAAAGACCGGGGCUUAACUUCGGAAAGGCAGUGGAAACUGAACAGCUAGAGUAUGGUAGGGGCAGAGGGAAUUCCAGGUGUAGCGGUGAAAUGCGUAGAUAUCUGGAGGAAUACCGGUGGCGAAGGCGGCAUCCUGGACCGACAUUGACGCUGAACGGCGAAAGCUAGGGGAGCAAACGGG